rnacentral:lncRNA from 1 species
UCAUGUCAUUUUGUAGCUGAAAUUUUUCAGAGAUGUGCCUUCAGAUGUCUAGUGCAUGCUGGUAAACAGUUUUCAGUUUCAUUUCCCUAGCUACAGAUAUUAUGUUCCAAGUGACAGAGGGCAGAAACAGGGCACAGCGGAAUCUGCAGAACAGUUCAGUGAGUUUCGAGGCCAACCAAUUUUGACUCAGAGAUAAUUUGUCAGUGAAAAUUUAACGCAAUGUGAUUACGUGAGUCUACUUUUUCCUCCAGUUUGCCUCACCCACUUUGCACCUCUGGAGCUUCAGAUAUUGCAUUUUUGGUGACUGAGGGUCAGCAGCAAACUUCAUGACAAACCGGCAACUUUGACCGGCUUUAGUUUUUACCUCGUUGGAAGAUAGGUGGCCUACUUCAUAUGGUUGGAAAGCUCUCUGAGUCUACUUUCCACUAAGGGAAGCCUCAUCUAUUUAUCACAUUCUCAGUUUGAGAUAUGAGCAUUUCAUGAGAAAAAGGUCAUUGCUGAAAGUUUGCUUCACUCACUACCUUUUGUUCAUUUGGUUGGUUGGACUUCUAUAUGCUUCAUUUCAUCUUGGGAGAGCAUGAAUAGGGCAAUAUUGAGAUGUGUUGGAGGUGGCAAAGUGUAAGAGCUUAAUGGAUGAUCUUGUCUCUUUACUCCUUUUGUGUGACUUCAUGCUCGAGAGCUUUGUACAUUCUAUUUGAAGUUGAUCUUCUUGAGCACCUUGAGCUUUUAUGGUGCAUCCAUUAUCGAAGUCAAGGCCUUGUGCCUUGAGAAUGGUGUCCAUUUUUGGUCUUCUCCAAAGCCAAUGAGCAAUGGAGGUCGACAAAGUGAGUUUCCGUAACUUUUCUCCGCAUUAACAUUUUCAUUUUCAUAGUUAAUUUGUGUACCUUUGCCCGAACUUCACUCUCAUGCCUAAAUCCAACACAGAUUUAGCUUUCAAGCUCACUUUGCAACAUUGAGGACAAUGUUGGUUUUAAGUGUGGGGGUGAAGGCUCGGCGCCUUAUAUAUAUUUAUAUAUAAUUGUUUCUUUCUUUGUUAGUUUUGAUGUAAAUAAGUAGUACCUAGUGUCUUUCCGACCCCAAUGAUAAAAGCAUGAACUCAAUGAGUUGUGGCUUUGAAGAGAAACAGCAUGUUUAUAGGUCUUAGGAUUUAUUUUGCAAUUAAUUUUGACAUGUGAUUGUAUGCUUGAGUGCUAGUUUUUGACAAGUAGGGAAAGCAUAUCUAGACUUGUAUGACUUGCAUACCUAUUUGUGAGAUUUUAAGCCUUAUUGAUAAAUAUGCAUUGUUCGUAUUUACUUGUUCUUCAUGUGUGCCAAUUUUGCGAUUACGGUCUCUCU